UGUAUCUAACUAUCCUUGCAUAUCAGAUAAGGGUCAGUUGGACGUACUGAUUGCUAAACCAGGAUCUCGGUAGGUGCUCACGCCGGCGUCCGAGCUCCCCCCGUACCAUCUACCACCUUCCCGCUACGAUAUGACUACACGUUGGUGACAGUCUGCCAGCCCUGGGACGAUUGAUUGGAAAAGAGUAAUGGCUGGAGAAAGUCAUCAUGGCAGUUUGAAGAAGAAAAAGAAAAGAGAGUGACUCCAAGAAAAUGUCACCUAGCACAAGGAAAAACAAGAAAAAUCGCAGAAGGGGAUCAGCAAAUUAUAAAUUAAGUCAGAAAAUAAAGAAGAAAACUCUUGGUACUUUUGUUGAAAUUAACUUUUCAUGUGUUGCACAGACAUGUCAAAAAUUAAGAUCAGCCGGAGUCUUAGUGCCGAGACCCUCUCUGAUCUUUAGAUAUAUAUAGAAAAAUUCAUUUAAAUGACAGUAACACUUUAAAGCUGUAAGACUUAUUGCUGGCUGCAGUUUACUUCUAUACUCCACCCCCCAUGUGGAACACUUCAAGAAGCUAAAAAAGAACAGUUAUAAGGUGGAGCCUGUAAAGCAGCUUUAGUCA